AACUCUUAGCAGUGAAUCACUCGGCUUGUGCGUCAAUGAAGAAUGCAGCUAGCUGCAAGAAUUAAUGUGAAUUGCAGGACACAUUGAUCAUCCAUACUUUGAACACACUUGCAGCCCCAUGUUCCUCCCAGGGCUACGACCGUCUGAGCGUUG